rnacentral:tRNA from 1 species
GCUCUUAUAGCUUAACGGGAUAAAGCAGUGGUCUACGAAACCACAGAUCGGGGUUCGAGUCCUCGUAGGAGUUCCA